UCACACACACACAUGCAACAAUGCAUCCAUAUGAUGCAUAUGUGUGUGUGUGUGUGAUCUGUCGACUUGACUUUUUUUUUUUUUUUUUUUUUUUUUUC
rnacentral:ribozyme from 16 species